GCUAACCUAGACUUUCCCAUCUUUCUAUUAAAACGAAUGUAGCUAACGUGAACUAAAAGCAAGCUCUUGUUCGAGGAAGUAUAAAUUGUUAGUUGUUGCUAGCUUGAACUGAGUUGUUCCUGUUGGUGCUAGGGAUCGGAAGAGAACAC